GGGUCUGAUUUUAUAAUAAAAUAAGCUAUCUUAGGGAACAACUAUAAAUUCGUGCAUAAACCCAUGCUCUAUUCCACUGAUCUAAGCUCGAUCUUCUACUCAAAUCCAAUCGAGCGUGUUUGUUCUUCUUUGAAUUCUUACUUGGAAUUCCUCAUUGCCCACGCCAACUAUUUCAGCUCGCUUUUGUUUUUGAUAUUCCCAUUACGUUUUCUAGCUCACAGAGUUCCCAUGGCGAGCAACGGUUCCCGAGCAGUUGAUCUGGGAGAUUGUCAAGAAUAUCAACUCCUUUCUCGUCAAAGAGCUUGAUAAUGAAAGCGUUCGAUUCAGUAAGGAGAGCGACCAGUAAUUCAGCACUCAGGUUGUAUUCAGCAGAAUUCUGAUAAAAACCAGAAGGAAUGUCGUUGAUCGCUGCAUUGUUUUGAUGCCUUCUUUUUGCGACUUGGAUUAUUAUUGUUGCGAAUCAUAAUGAAGACAUGUUUGUCUUUUUUGGAGGGGUUGUCAACUUUAUUAUGAAGCUACUGCAUGGCCCUUAAGUGGGGAAGGUGGUGUCCUAUGUGGGAAAAAGUGACCCUAUUAAACAAGUUGCCUCAUACAUAUUUUGCACCAAAAUGGAUUGCACUGCAGUGAGAAGAAAGAGUAGGAUUGUUGUGAGGAUAAAUUUCGGUUUUUAUGUGUGUUGUUUUUUAUCACGAGGAUACAUUUGUUUCAGCACAAUGAGGCUUCGUAGGAUAUUUGUUUAGACUGUCUAGCUGACUACUCAUAACUGCUCCCAUAUUUAAGUAUUAUGGUGAGAUAUAAAAUGUAGGAUUGUGGGUACUUGUGCAGUUGAAUUUUUAUGAAAAUUAGAAAAA